GACGAACGCUGGCGGCGUGCUUAACACAUGCAAGUCGAACGGAAAGGCCCUGCUUUUGUGGGGUGCUCGAGUGGCGAACGGGUGAGUAACACGUGAGUAACCUGCCCUUGACUUUGGGAUAACUUCAGGAAACUGGGGCUAAUACCGGAUAGGAGCUCCUGCUGCAUGGUGGGGGUUGGAAAGUUUCGGCGGUUGGGGAUGGACUCGCGGCUUAUCAGCUUGUUGGUGGGGUAGUGGCUUACCAAGGCUUUGACGGGUAGCCCGCCUGGGAGGGUUGCCGGCCACAUUGGGACUGAGAUACGGCCCAGACUCCUACGGGAGGCAGCAGUGGGAAAUAUUGCACAAUGGGCGGAAGCCUGAUGCAGCAACGCCGCGUGCGGGAUGACGGCCUUCGGGUUGUAAACCGCUUUCGCCUGUGACGAAGCGUGAGUGACGGUAAUGGGUAAAGAAGCACCGGCUAACUACGUG
rnacentral:rRNA from 1 species